rnacentral:rRNA from 1 species
AUGGCUGCUACUGCUGCACUAGUCUUUGCAGGGAAGUCGGUUGCAACCCCAGCCAUCUCAUUCAUCCUGAACAAGGCAUUCGGUUAUCUCAGUGAGUGGUACAAGCCUAACGAUCUAGAGGAGCUCAAGAAUAAUCUGUCAGAAAAGCUCACGGACAUCCAAGCGGUGUACGAUGUUGUUGAUCAUCAGGAGAUCAGUGAGGAGAGCAAUGGACUAGCUGAGUGGCUCUGGCGAUUCCGCGAUGCAGUCGAGGAAGCUGAGGAUGCACUUGAUGAGAUGGACUACCACAAGCUUAAAGAAGAGGCAGAAGCCCACAGCCUAGGACAGGUGCGUAAUCCGUUCACAAAGUUUUUCAAAGAACAGAUUGUUGGCAAGGCUGCAAGGAUGACUCCUGAGGGAAACAUGGUAGAGAAGCUGAGGGAGGCCAUAGAGAAGUUAGAAACUGUUGCUAAAGAUGUGGGUGGUUUCCUUCAGCUUUUAUGCCGUGUUGAUAAUCUUGUCCUGCAAGAUCGCGCUGAAAGAAGUGUAUACCAGACUAGCUCCACUUUGGUGCCUAUUGAGAUAUUUGGUCGUGACAGUGAGAAGAACCAGGUGAUAAGGUGGUUGACUGAUAAUGUAUAUGAUGAUCCAGAUACUGUUAUUCAGGUACCGGUUUUUGCAAUAAUCAGAAUUGGAGAAAGACAACCCUUGCUCAGAUUGUGUGCGAAGAAUUGA